AUGAAAAAUUUUUCUGAGUAUUCAUUUUGUCACAGGAUCAAGAGGGAUUCAGAUGAAGAAACGGAACCAUUGGAAACAGAUGAAGGAGACACAGAAGCUAAUAAUGAACCGUCAGAUGAAGAGAGGAGAGAAAUGCAAAAGACAGAUGAGGAUAGCAGAUCAGAGAGCCACAACCAAACCGAAACAGAAGAAAGCAAUGAAACCAUGGUCGAAACCAUUGGAAAGGAAGAAAAACUUGAAUAUGAACCAGCCUUUCAAGGAUGCAAUGAAAAUCAAAAAGGAAACACAAAUGAACGCAUGCCAGGCAAUACAGAUGUCCCAGAAUAUUAUAUUGUAGCACCAAAUAGACUACUUAAAAAAUCAAGAACGGUUUCUCUUUUUAAGAGGAAGUCAGUGUCAAGUCAGAAAAAUGUACAGAGUAUUUUUGAAACGAGGCCUAUUUCUGAGCCACUUGUAAUAGCAGACACAAGACGAAUAGGAGAUCAAGCCGAUAUUGGGAAAGAAAGAAAAGACGAAAACCAAAACCACACAGGGCAAAAUCACAUGGAAACUUCAUCAGCUAAUCAGGAGAGAAAGUCAAAGUCAUGUACAAUUCUAUAAAUACAUAUUUAUUGUUUAUGGUCUCCAAGCACAUAUUGCAAUUUAUACUUGAAAAUAAUUAUGACUUCUGAAAGAAAGUUGCUGAUAAUGAACUUUGUACUGUAAGUUAAUUAUUUGUUUUCUUGGGGUUUGGACAUUGUGACCAUGGUAUUGGUAUUUAUUUCUACUGAUAAUAUUAGUAUAAGAAGUACACUCUGAAAAUCUUACUAAAGUGUUGUGGCCUUAUUGUUCAGUGUUGUAAUAAAAAUAUAUUUUUUUAUGUGAAAACUGAAUUC
rnacentral:lncRNA from 1 species